AGACCAACAGAGCACAGGCAAACUAAUUGAAGAGCCAUCAAAACAUCAGGGGAAUGCCAGCUGCAAUUGUCCCUGUAUGUCACUGGCUGUAGCACAUUGCUAAUGAGAGGUCGGUCAUCUGUUUGAUGGUUGUGUGAUCUCCUUAGUUUUAUUCUAUUCUGUGGCCAGAGACUGCACCCCUAACCCCAGCCAGCUGUCUCUGUAAUUUAUUCUGCUGAUGAGUAGGGAGAGUAAGCCAAAGAGUAUGGCUAGAUUCAGUUAGAAUCCCAGACCUUCAACACAGGAAGAUACGUGUUCAGCACAGGCUCCAGAGAUUAUCCGGUUUACAUAAUAUUGCAGAUGAGGAGACAGACAGAGGUUAUGGGGAUCUUUCAAACACUCAUAGCCAAGUAGCACAGUAACAGAGCCAAGACAGCCAGUUUAAUCUAAGAUGGAGGAAGAGGAAAAACAGCAUCACCUUUAUUGACGUGUACCUCUGUACCAUCAAAAUGAUCAAUCCAGAGAAUGACUAGGGCCCAGAAGCUCAACAAUCGUGCCACAUGCACAUGCAUGUGUACCUAAAUCCCGAGAGAAGAAGGGAUCACAGCA